UUUGUUUUGUUUUUAAGGUGCAGACACUUCUGCAACAGAUGCAAGAUAAAUUUCAGACCAUGUCUGACCAGAUCAUUGGAAGAAUUGAUGAUAUGAGUAGUCGCAUUGAUGAUCUGGAGAAAAACAUCGCAGACCUCAUGACACAGGCUGGGGUGGAAGAACUGGAAGGUGAAAACAAGAUACCCGCCACACCAAAGAGUUGAAGGUUGCUAAUAAUUUACACUGAAAUCUGGAAUACCGUUUUUCCAAGCCAAGAGAAGACCGAAUGGCUUUUUGCAGCUAACUGUUAUGUGUAGACAGGUUUUGUAUUAUGAAGUGUGCAUUCUUAUCACCGACUAUAUAGUUAUAGAGUGAGUUUCCCCCAGUUUUUUGAACAUCUUGGACCUUGGUCAGUUGUGCUAUUAAUUAUUAAACACUAAAACCUUGGCAGAUCCUGCAUAAAAUUGUCAAAUUUUUUAGUGUACUUUUGUGAAAUCAUUUUUUCCUGCCAUUCCUUUUGUGGUGGUUACUGUUUGGUAAAAGUUGCUGUGUAAUUUUUUUUAUUAAACAAAUAGUAGAUUCUUCGAUUACAGAUACACUUGGUGAAGUAAGACAUCUGUAGAGUUUAGGGUUCUUUUCUUCUCAGCACAAAGUGACUGUGAGCUGACACCAAAUAGUGUGUGGGCAAUACUUUUGAAAUGGCAGAAAACAUUUAAAAAUUGUUUAUUCAGAAAUGUCUGACACUGCUCUGUUGCCAAAACUCAUAAUUGAACCAUGACUUGUAAUUAAGUUAGGAGAUCAGAUGCUAAAGUCAGUGAAAAGUAAUCUCUGCCACAUUACUGUGUUAGAACUUUUAAGAUACAGAAAAUAACUGAAUAGCCUGAUGUAAUAAGGCAUUCGUUUUUUAGAGUUUUGCAUGAGAAUCUAAUAUUUCAGUAGGACGUUACAUUGCUCAUCUACAGUGUAAACAUAUCUGGCAGGAUUUUAAAACUCAAUUACUCCCUCCUUUCUUUGAGCUACUGAUUGAAAAAGGAAAAGACCGUUUUAAGUUGCUUGGCUAGGAAAUGAUAAAUGGCUCAUUAGUAGGCUCAAGUUUUUAAGAAACACUAUUUUACUUAAACUAUUUCUUACCUAAAUUCUUGCAAAGUAACAAUUUUAUUAUUAAUUCUAGAGACAGGGAUGAUAAUUCUUGCCAUCAAAAAUGCAGUGUCAGGAAUGCUAAGCCUCGAGGCCAGUAUUGAUGACCUGGAAUGCCAAGCAUGUGAUUGUCACUGCAAAGUGAUUUUGUAUAACAAAAACUUGAAAAAGUUGAGGAAUGGUAUGGCCCUUCAUAGAAGGAAACCCUCCUUAACGAAAACAGGAUGAUUUUUUUUUUAAGUUUUCCAUAUCACCAGUCUUGUUUGUAUUGCAACUAUAUAAUAAUUUGUCCUAUUUACAAACUAUGUGGGGAACACAAAAGAGUAAAAUUCUUCUGAAAUAAAAUGAACUUAGCACUAUUAUUACCAGCUGCAGAAAAUCCUUUGACCAGACCAGCAAGUUGUGCUGCAGGGUUUAGCCCAUGAAUGGCCCACUCACACAGGGCUCUGACCAGACCAGCUGAAACCUGAGUGAAGGAUGUUUUCAAGCCUCAUAAACAGCAAAUGGAGAUAUGGCAUGGCUGUUGUAAGGAGAGUUGGGACUUAGGAGUUGGCUUCCUUAAGUAACAAAGAUUUCAAAGGCAGGCUCCCUUGACUAAAAAUACCUGCCAUGAAUAAAGGUGCCUGAAAUCCUGCUAUUAAA